rnacentral:ncRNA from 1 species
CAACCUCAACUCAUAUGGGACUACCCCCUGAAUUUAAGCAUAUUAAUUAGGGGAGGAAAAGAAACUAACAAGGAUUUUCUUAGUAGCGGCGAGCGAAAAGAAAUCAGUUCAGCACUAAGUCACUUUGUCUAUAUGGCAAAUGUGAGAUGCAGUGUACGGAACAUCAACAUUCUAGUAUGAGAAGUUAACGAUUUAAGUCCUUCUUAAAUGAGGCCAUUUACCCAUAGAGGGUGCCAGGCCCGUAUAACGUUAAUGAUUACUAGAUGGUGUUUCCAAAGAGUCGUGUUGCUUGAUAGUGCAGCACUAAGUGGGUGGUAAACUCCAUCUAAAACUAAAUAUAACCAUGAGACCGAUAGUAAACAAGUACCGUGAGGGAAAGUUGAAAAGAACUCUGAAUAGAGAGUUAAAUAGUACGUGAAACUGCUAGAGAAUCC